rnacentral:rRNA from 1 species
UGGGGAAUUUUCCGCAAUGGGCGAAAGCCUGACGGAGCAAUGCCGCGUGGAGGUGGAAGGCCUACGGGUCGUCAACUUCUUUUUCUCGGAGAAGAAACAAUGACGGUAUCUGAGGAAUAAGCAUCGGCUAACUCUGUGCCAG